rnacentral:lncRNA from 10 species
CUCAGCUCUCCUGGAUCUCCAGCUUGGCAACUGCAGACCUUGGGACAUUUCAGAUUCCAUAAUCAUGACGAAGGCGAUGGCAGCAGUUUUCCAGGCUAGCUGUCUUCACAACCCGAUGGCUCUCUUCUUUUCUGCUGCCACAGAGACUGACUGUCUGCCUCCUGCAAAUUUGAAAUUUGGCAAACCUGCCUCCUCUGCUUCUCAGAACCAAACUGGGGCCAGGAGAACUUCUGACCCAAGUGUUGAUCACCUCUCUUCCUGCACCUCACUGUGCACCCUCUGCUCAGGAAAUGCCUUUGGCGUGUUGCUGACGUCUGUCCCUGCUCCAUCUCUUACCACCCUGCACUUCACCCUUUCCCACACAGGUUUCACCUGAUCUCAGCUGCUUUGGGCAGACCAUCCAGGUAUUUUGGAGUCUGAAAAGGAUCUCUGUCUCUAAGUCUGGUGCAAAUGGAGUUUGGGGGUUUUAAAAUUCAUUCUUCUUGCUGCUGUUUCACAAUUUCUCAGAAAAGGUGAAAAUGCAGACUUUGGCAGUUAUGUUCAAUAUGAAAAGUCUUAAUAAAGUAAUUUUUGAC